rnacentral:lncRNA from 1 species
CUGCUCCUUCAGAAGGUUGGGAAGGAAAGAGCGGAAUAGCUAAGAAGCUUUCGGGCGGCUUGAAGGUCGUCCUCCCCCAGGCUGGGAGCUCGGCGGACAGAGUCCCUCAGAGAGCCCCAAGGGGGCAAGUCCAGCCUCAAAGUCGGGCAGUGGACGAAGAGGUACUUCCCCUUCCAGUUGUGGAUUGUAGAGGGAGCAUCUUUUAGCAACCCCUUCUUGCCAAACUGGGAGGAGAAAUACCAUCAAUUUUUUGCUGAGGGAUGACGCUUGAAGGUGUAGAAAUGCCUAAACAA